UGAUAAUAGACUUCUGAAGAUGCCUGGCCUC
rnacentral:piRNA from 1 species